CGGGGGGAGCAAGCGUUGUUCGGAUUUACUGGGCGUAAAGGGCGGGUAGGCGGCCACUGCAAGUCGGUUGUGAAAUCUCCGGGCUUAACUCGGAAAGGUCAAUCGAUACUGCAGGGCUAGAGUGCAGAAGGGGCAACUGGAAUUCUCGGUGUAGCGGUGAAAUGCGUAGAUAUCGAGAGGAACACCUGCGGCGAAGGCGGGUUGCUGGGCUGACACUGACGCUGAACUGCGAAAGCUAGGGGAGCGAACGGGAUUAGAUACCCCGGUAGUCCUAGCCUUAAACGAUGAAUGCUUGGUGUCUGGGGUUUUAUAGUCCCCGGGUGCCGUCGCUAACGCUUUAAGCAUUCCGCCUGGGGGAGUACGGUCGCAAGACUG
rnacentral:rRNA from 1 species